GAUGAACGCUGGCGGCGUGCCUAAUACAUGCAAGUCGAGCGAACGGACGAGAAGCUUGCUUCUCUGAUGUUAGCGGCGGACGGGUGAGUAACACGUGGAUAACCUACCUAUAAGACUGGGAUAACUUCGGGAAACCGGAGCUAAUACCGGGUGAUAUUUUGAACCGCAUGGUUCAAAAGUGAAAGACGGUCUUGCUGUCACUUAUAGAUGGAUCCGCGCUGCAUUAGCUAGUUGGUAAGUUAACGGCUUACCAAGGCAACGAUGCAUAGCCGACCUGAGAGGGUGAUCGGCCACACUGGAACUGAGACACGGUCCAGACUCCUACGGGAGGCAGCAGUAGGGAAUCUUCCGCAAUGGGCGAAAGCCUGACGGAGCAACGCCGCGUGAGUGAUGAAGGUCUUCGGAUCGUAAAACUCUGUUAUUAGGGAAGAACAUAUGUGUAAGUAACUGUGCACAUCUUGACGGUACCUAAUCAGAAAGCCACGGCUAACUACGUG
rnacentral:rRNA from 1 species